rnacentral:rRNA from 1 species
CACGGGGGGAGCAAGCGUUGUUCGGAAUCACUGGGCGUAAAGGGUGUGUAGGUGGCGCCGUAAGUCGGGUGUGAAAUUUCGGAGCUUAACUCCGAAACUGCAUUCGAUACUGCGGUGCUUGAGGACUGGAGAGGAGACUGGAAUUCAUGGUGUAGCAGUGAAAUGCGUAGAGAUCAUGAGGAAGACCAGUGGCGAAGGCGGGUCUCUGGACAGUUCCUGACACUGAGACACGAAGGCCAGGGGAGCAAACGGG